AAGUGGAUAUACGUACAUAUUGGGGUUUCUCUUGAAGGCGUUGUUGAUAUCUUUUACAACUCUCUGGACCAAAACCUCCACCUCGUUCUCCGACUCUGCCAUUUUUUUUGUACACUGAUGACGUCAACGGAUUAUCUCAAUUUCAUCCGGGUCAUUGAAAAUGAACACACUUGGCUGGCCAAAGUGCGCAUGUGUAAAACAGGUUUCACCAUGGUAACGUUGUAGCAACUUGCGUGACUAUGCUACACUCUUACGUCGAUCGAAUAUUUUACUGCUAUGGAAUGUUACUCACGUUCUAAUCUUUGCUUUGACGGUCCCGUUCUAUGACGUCACAGUAAUUGGAACGGAAUUUGGAAGCCACUUAAUUUUGCUAGCUGAGAAUCCUGAGUGCAAAAGGCUUCAUUCAGUUCAGUGGAAGUUUUAUUGGUGAAUAACGGUUCAGUCUUCAAAUUCAGUCACGAUGUCUGAUACCAAGAUGUAUUACAGCAGACCAACUCUUAUUUCCAAUUGGCAUAAAAACAGAGAGGCCGAACCCAAAGACUAUGACUUCACUCUGUGUCCAGAUGGAAAGAAGAAACUCAGCAAAUCUACCUACAAACACUUUGGAACCUACAUGGAUGCUGAUUGGAGCACAAGCACAGAAACCCAAAUGUCACAGUAUCUACUGAAGAGAGAUUAUGAGCCCAAGAAGAUUCUCAAGUCUAUGGUAGAGGCUGACCACUUCCAGUCUGCAGACUUUGACAAACGUACAGUCAGAGACACAGCAGGACAUGUGACUGGUGUGACCAAUAGCAUCCUGCCACAUCAUCGCCCGCGCAUGACAAAAUGAAGUUGGACUCCACAUAUGCAGUGGAUUACCUGCCCCCAUGGGACUCCAGCAAAGAGGCGGAGGACUAGUCUCUAGGAUUCUGAUCUCCGGCCUUACCCUGCAGGGAGCUGCAUACGUUUCAUAUUAAACUUUUCAUUCCAUAAUUUUUUUUUUACUUC